UACGUGAGGGGCGAGCGUUGUCCGGAGUACUGGGCGUAAAGCGCACGCAGGCGGUCUGCUAAGUUUGGAGUGACAGUUCGGUGGCUUAACUGGCCAAAGUUGCUUCGUAAAACUGACAGACUUGAGGGCUUCAGAGGGACACGGGAAUUCCGGGUGGAGUGGUGAAAUGCGGUAGAAGAUCCGGAGGAACACCAAAGGCGGAAGGCAGUGUCC
rnacentral:rRNA from 1 species